rnacentral:rRNA from 1 species
UACGUAGGGGGCAAGCGUUGUCCGGAUUUAUUGGGCGUAAAGAGCGUGUAGGCGGCCAGGCAGGUCUGCUGUGAAAACUCGAGGCUUAACCUCGAGAUGUCGGCGGAAACCAUCUGGCUAGAGUCCGGAAGAGGAGAGUGGAAUUCCUGGUGUAGCGGUGAAAUGCGCAGAUAUCAGGAAGAACACCUAUGGCGAAGGCAGCUCUCUGGGACGGUACUGACGCUGAGACGCGAAAGCGUGGGGAGCGAACAGG